rnacentral:rRNA from 1 species
UGGGGAAUAUUGGGCAAUGGGCGCAAGCCUGACCCAGCAACGCCGCGUGAAGGAAGAAGGCUUUCGGGUUGUAAACUUCUUUUGGCAGGGACGAAACAAAUGACGGUACCUGCAGAAUAAGCUCCGGCUAACUACGUGCCAGCAGCCGCGGUACUACGUAGGGAGCAAGCGUUAUCCGGAUUUACUGGGUGUAAAGGGCGCGUAGGCGGGUAUGCAAGUCAGAUGUGAAAUCUGAGGGCUCAACCCUCAAACUGCAUUUGCAACUGUAUUUCUUGAGUGAUGGAGAGGCAAGUGGAAUUCCUAGUGUAGCGGUGAAAUGCGUAGAUAUUAGGAGGAACACCAGUGGCGAAGGCGACUUGCUGGACAUUAACUGACGCUGAGGCGCGAAAGCGUGGGGAGCAAACA